GGAUCAUUACAGAGUUACACAACUCACCAAACCAUUGUGAACCCUACCUUUUACCGUUGCUUCGGCGGGAGGCGCCCCCUCGCGGGGCGUCCCUGGCCCUCCCACCGCGGGGGGCGCCCGCCGGAGGAAUACCCAAAACCCUUUGCAGCACAUGGCCUCUCUGAGUCUUUUGUACUGAAUAAGUCAAAACUUUCAACAACGGAUCUCUUGGUUCUGGCAUCGAUGAAGAACGCAGCGAAAUGCGAUAAGUAAUGUGAAUUGCAGAAUUCAGUGAAUCAUCGAAUCUUUGAACGCACAUUGCGCCCGCCAGUAUUCUGGCGGGCAUGCCUGUUCGAGCGUCAUUUCAACCAUCAAGCCCCGGGCUUGUGUUGGGGACCUGCGGCUGCCGCAGGCCCUGAAAUCCAGUGGCGGGCUCGCUGACACACCGAGCGUAGUAGCUUUACAACCUCGCUUUGGGAGUGCUGCGGGUGCUAGCCGUAAAACGACCUUGUCUUUAGCACU
rnacentral:rRNA from 1 species